UGAAAGCGUAAAAAGUAGGAGGCAAGAAGGUGGAAUCUGCUUCAAAAUACUUUUUAACAAGGCCUUGUACACUGUUUAAAGAUGGUAUGACUUAUAAUUAAUGCUUGCAGCUACGUGGCAGACAAAAUCCGCCACAGCUGUAAGUCAAAGCAGGAGAGAGAGGAGGCGGAGGAGGUGAAAGGCAUUGGACAGAGACAGUGUGUCAUCAGUAAAUAUGCUGAAGACAAAAGUUCUGGAGAGCAUUAUGGACCAACAGCAAAUGGGUAUUAUGACUCCCCGAAGCAGCCGAUAGCACCUGAGCCAUAUACCUACAACCAAACUCAGUGCAACACCAGGAGUGGAUGACGAUAAAGAUGACAGGGAGACAGCUUGGGUGAUGGAUGGAGGGAAGGAGAAAACAGACUGACUGGAAAAAAGCACAAUUUUAUUGAUUUAUAUUAUUGUGAUUAGAUGUUUAUUUAUUUAUUUAAUGCUAAUUUAUGAAAUAGAAGUAAAAUUUGUUUAUUGAUUUAUGUGAUAAAAUGUGAAAGACUAUAUGCGGCUGUUUGAGAUAUAAACACCAAAUUUUCAAAGCCUAUGUCAUGGCUGAAGUGGUCUUUUCACCUUCAUUUGUGAUAUUAUUUACCAUGUCUGAUAACUUCCUCCCCAUAUGUAUUAAAACCCUGGCUGUUGCUCUGUCAUAAAAGAAAUAGGUCUUUAUAAGAACACAAGCCAUUCCUCUUAUUUUGGCUGCAUACCAACACUCAUGGACUCCUUAGACAGUUUAUCUCGUGCCAGAAACUAAAAGCUGAUGAUGUUAAAGUUGUGUCUCAUUUGUUAUUUCACUCUUUUCUCCUACCAAGUUUGGAACCGUUGUAUGACAGUGGAGCCUUAAAGCCAGGUUAGCCACCUACAGCAGGCUCAGCUCGAUAAUUUACGGUGUCCAUUUUGGUUGUGAGAAGACUGAUUUAUAAUUAUGAGAAAAAUAUUUCAUGAAUAGAGGUCUUGUAUACAGUUUUUACCUAGCAAGUUUUUUUAUUUGAAAGAAGGUAUUUUAAUAUUGGUCUUUGAAUUAUUGAGUUUCUCAGGUGUACUUGAUAUCCUAGUUUACCUUCCACAUUGGAAUUUUCUCAGGAGUUUGUGGUUCAUGUGACUAUGUAUAUAAGGUAGAAAAUGUAACUUCAUGAUCAGGAUAUAAUAUUGUUAACUUUUUAAGUUAUGCAAGUGCACUUCAGCAUAUCAGUGAAAUUGCAACAGUGAAUAUAUUUUGGAUGUAGUCACUUGAAUAAUCUGGAUCUUAGACUACGAAAAGAAGUCAUUCAGAAUUGUGUGGGAAGGUGCUCCGCAAAAUUUGAAUACAUACACGUACUUAAAUUAUAUGUUGUGUUACUUGUAUUUCCCCUCUUUUUAGAGACUUUUAUAUAUAUAUCUCC